GUGCUUACUUCGGUAGCACAUAUACUAAAAUUGGAAUGACACAGAGAAGAUUAGCAUGGCCCCUGUGUAAGGAUGACACACAAAUUCAUGAGGCAUCCCAUAUUUUU
ensembl:snRNA U6 U6 spliceosomal RNA